rnacentral:tRNA from 1 species
GGUGGCUCAGUGGUAGAGUGCUUGCCUCAUAUCCAGGAGGCCCUAGGUUCAAUUCCUCAGCACCA